AAAAAAGCAGGGGCCUGUUGCCAAUUUGUGGACCGGUCUCUCGUAAACUUCAGGAAAAUCAAUUUGCAUUGUUAUUGGGUGAACCUCUUGACUACUUAAUUACUGGAGGUUCAGUAAAUGAUGGAACACUA